rnacentral:rRNA from 1 species
UACAGAGGUCCCAAGCGUUGGUCGGAUUCACUGGGCGUAAAGGGUGCGUAGGCGGUCGGGUAAGUCUGAUGUGAAAUCUCACAGCUUAACUGUGAAACUGCAUUGGAUACUAUCCGGCUCGAGGAAUGGAGGGGAGACUGGAAUACUUGGUGUAGCAGUGAAAUGCGUAGAUAUCAAGUGGAACACCAGUGGCGAAGGCGAGUCUCUGGACAUUUCCUGACGCUGAGGCACGAAAGCCAGGGGAGCAAACGGG